UCCAGUUUAACACUGGCAGUCUCUCUAGAGUGCUCAACUUAAUGGUGGCAACUAGAGAUAGGGGUUGCGCUCGUUGCCGGACUUAACCGAACAUCUUACGACACGAGCUGACGACAGCCAUGCAGCACCUGUCUUGGAGUGACCGAAGUCAAAGCCGCAUCUCUGCGGAUGUCUCCAGAUGUCAAGGCCAGGUAAGGUUCUUCGCGUUGCGUCGAAUUAAACCACAUACUCCACCGCUUGUGCGGGCCCCCGUCAAUUCCUUUGAGUUUUAGUCUUGCGACCGUACUUCCCAGGCGGGAUACUUAAUGCGUAAGCUUUGGUACUCAGAGGGUUAACUCUCCGAACACCUAGUAUCCAUAGUUUAGGGCGUGGACUAC
rnacentral:misc_RNA from 1 species